CGGGGCGUAGCGCAGCUUGGUAGCGCGCCUCGUUUGGGGCGAGGAGGUCCCCGGUUCAAAUCCGGGCGCCCCGA
rnacentral:tRNA from 1 species